CAGUUCUAUAGGAUGCUUUUCUGACAUGGUGGUUUGUUUGGUGGACCUGAGCUAGAGCUGUCUGACAUGAUUGGGAUCCAAGAAAAAACAGCCUUCUGCCCCUUCCCUGUCAAGCAGUGUUUGCAUUCAGAUGGUGACUUGGAAUGUCAUUCUGUUAUUUUUUGGUUUUGCAUCGUGAUAUGAGGCAUUUAGCAAUUGCCAAGAUAAAUACAGUUAUAUCUUAUGAGGUGGCUGGAUUUUUUUUAUUUUAUUUUUUCUCUGAGAUAUCCUAGCUAUUUUGUGAAACUCCCUGGGUGCUGGGGGAGUCUCUCCACCACUCCAUUGCUUAAUGUUCUUACAGGCUUGCUAAUUCCUUUUAGGCCUAUCUAAAUUCUGUUUCAAAUAAUCUUUGUUUUCCUAUCCAAAGCCAGGUCUUCUGCACUGAAGUAUUCCUGUUGUCAAAAGCAAAACCAGCUGGGUAUUGAAGACUUUUUUACUUCCUUCUGCUGAGAAUUUCUCCCUAGUGGAGGAUGUGGAAAACUUCUGAAUGAUUUUUAUGCAAGGAUGCUGUUGAAUUGCCAAGACUCCUGUGCAUUACCACAGAAGAAGGGACACCUCACAUCUGUCAGGACAGAAGCACAUCCCCACCACACUGCUGACCAGAAGAGCCAGGCAGCUUCUCUCUCCCCUUGUCCCUUGCUGCCUCCCUCUCCUACACAGGAGAUAGAAAAUUUGGAGACGGCAAGGAUGAGAUCACUGCUUUGCAAGGAGUGACAAGAAAACUGGCUGCACAAUUUGGGGCUCUGCAUAUCCUUUUCCCAGGGAGCAGAUCUGAUGUUAUUUCCCUAUCCACAACUGCACAGAGACAUCAGCACUUUGGAGACGGUGCUUGCCAGCUGCUCGGGUAAGACUGCAGAUAAGGCCCAGAGAUGAGGAGCCAUCAAGAGACGAAUGUCUAGCACAGACUUUGCAUUCCUGGCUUUGCUGUAUUUACUUCCUUUAAUCACAUGAGUUUAUAAACUGUAAUUACCAAGGCAGAGAGUAGUUACCCAUUCUGGGAGAAAGAGUAGUUUUGAGUUGAAUUGGGGCUGCUGUAUGGGUUCGCAUCGUCCUUCAUUUCAGUUGUGAAUAUAGAUACUUGAAUUUAUAAACAGCUUUUAGAUUUUCACGGUGCUUUAGAAACAAUUGAAAACAAGUUAUACUGCCGCAUUGAAGUUGGGGACUAGAUUUCCCCUCGGUUCCUGUGUCAGUACAGCCUCGAAGCCUGAACUUCAGGUUACUCCCCACGUAUGAUUGCUAGGGUUUUUCCCUUCUGAACACAGUACUUUUGUCUUCACCUGAAUCAUCAGAUAAAAUUCUGUGUCACUACACCUGAGCUCUCACCAGCUGGCAGUCUGAGCUGACUGUGUGCUCACGGAUGUUGGGGCAGACCUGAAGUGGGCAAAUGUCUCUUGGAUUCCUGCUAUAGCUCAUCCUUCAGCAGAGACACUUGAGUAUGUCCCUCCUCCUCCCUCCAGUCCCAGUUUUCACCAGAACUGCAGGAAUUUCCUGCAUUGACCGUCUGGACUCAGACGUGUUUUUGCAAGUGUGUGCUCUUUGUUUUCACUGAAAUAGAAUCAAAACAAACCAGCAGAAGGAAAUUCAAUAAAAAUUACGUUUGAUAGACCCAGAAAAAAUUGACUUUUUUCUUUUUUUUUUUUUUUUUUAAAGAAAGACUACCAUUUAAAAGUCCAGAUGCAGACAUUCCUUACUAUCCCACUCCUAUUGAAAGUUCAAACUGAAAUCAUCCAGGACUCCAUUCCUCAUAUCUGUGUGGUUCUUUUUGCUUUAUUAAAAUCAACAGCAAGAAGUCUGUCAGGGAUUUUCUUAAGCAUCCUGCCAAUGCAUUAAUAACUUCUUCACAGGAUACUUUCUAGUACUCUGCUUCACGUUAUGGUUUCUAAGGUUUUGGAAAGCAUUGGGAUCACUUCUUGUUUUAUUUUUUGUCCAUCAUUCAGAAUAGCUGUCUAGCUGGAAAUGCAAUGUACCAUUGCUAAAUAACAAGGCCUCAUGCCUUGUUAUGGGGUUCUAAGGCAUUUGUUUCCAUUGGAGGAUCACUGUAUUUUGCAGAACCAUUAGAGCAAAAUGUAGGCUUCUGCAUAUUCUAGUAAUCAUUUGUAUUAUCUGAGGACAAAACAUUUCAUUUUACCCAUUCCUCUUUCUGUAAAACCUUGCACUUCUAUGUGUAUACUUUUUUUUUCUGAAUAAUUUUGCAUCAAGUAACAAAUUGGUACAAGGGCUCCUCCUCAUUUUAACACGUUCCAAGUUCAGUUCCUUGGUCUGGCAGAUGGUAUAACUCUCGAUACAAGCUGUAGUAAAUUACCAUGUUAUUAAACAAUUACUUACAGUACAUUUCCUGAUUAUUUGGUGCCUUGGGAUAUUGUGCAUUUUACCUAAUUGCAGGUUUAACAAAAAUGUAUUGUGGUCAUUAUGCCAUUAUGUUAUGAAAGUAUAAAGAGCAUAAUAGAGCAAAUCAGAUAAAGUUGAGUGAGACUUAGCUGUCUGCAUGGGAAUGUUAGGAACCAUGUCUCUCACCCUUGCAGACCACAAAGAUAAUUUCCUGACUACUAAGUAGUAGUUGAUUUUAAAAAAAAAGAAUCUAUUAGGCAGCGCCUCCACACUCAAGGGAAAUGUCUAUCAGCAAAACUGAUUAGAGAUAAGGGUAAGCAGAUGUCAAAACAGAAGACCACCAAAGAAUUGAGGUCCUGAAGUGAAUGGGGAGAGAUUCAGCAGGUAGUCAAAGUAGAGUAGAUUAUUUUCCAAUCCUCCUGUUCUUUCAGCUCCAGGGAGAGUUUUGCUGGAAAAAAGGAUGGCAAGGUUGUACUCUUUAUCUUAUACGGAAGAAAAAGUCUGUUUUCUGCAGUAAUUUUUCUGGGUGAAUUUGCAUGUGUGAGUGUGGUAGGGUUUUUUUGCUUUGUUUUGCUUUUCACAAUCUGCUUCUUUAGCCUAAUUUUUGAGUGGAAAUUAGAAGUAUUAGGGAGAACAAAGAACUGUGAGAGGAUAUUCUGCAGAAUUUCUUAUUUUCCCUCUAACCACAGAGAAUGCAAAUUUAAACAAUCUUCCUCUGUAGGAAGAGAUUUUCCAUAGCAUUCAGUUUCUGCAUCAUUAGAGAGGGUGAUCUCCCCAAGCAGGAGAGGUUUUGCACAAUGGCCUCUGUGCCUGGGUCCCUUGCAUUCCGCUUUUGCCCAGCACUGAAAUGGGAAUUCCUUAUCUGAUUUAGGAGAUGUUGGGAGAACUGGGAAUUCCCAGUCCCACUCCCCUCCUGCCAGUGCUACUACCUGCUUCCCCAUCACCAUUGACUGCACAGGGUGUGGUGUCCCCUUACCCACCUGUAGCUGCCAGCCUGUUCCUCCUGAGCACUGUGUGCAGUUCCGGGCACCACAGUAUAAAAAGGAUAUGAAGCUACUGGAGAUUGUCCAGAGGAGGGCUACAAAUUUGGUGAAGAGUUUGGAGAGGACGCCAUAUGUGGAGCAGCUGAAGUAAUUUGGUUCCUUCAGCCUGGAGGAGACUAAGAGGACAUCUCAUCACAGUCUACAGCUUCCUCACAAGGGGAGGAGGAAGGACAGGCUCUGAUCUCUUCUCUCUGGCAACCAAUGACAGAACCCGAGGGAAUGGCAGGAAGAUGUGCCGGGGGAGGUUUAGGUUGGACAUUAGGAAAAGGUUCUUCACUCAGAGGAUGUUGGAGCAUUGGAACAGGCUCCGCAGGGAGGUGUCACAGGCCCAAGCCUGACAGUGUUCAAGAAGAGACCGGACAAUGCCCUCAGACACAUGGUGUGAACUGUGGGGUGGUCCUAUGCAGUGAUAGGAGUUGGACUCGAUGAUCCCCGUGGGUCUCUUCCAACUCAGGACAUUCUAUGGCUCUCCCAAAGAGCACCAGGGAGAUGUUGAGCAGACACAUCAGGCCACACAGUGCUAGCAAGUCCCCGUCAGUGGAGGUAACUGAGUAUGUGCAGCCUUUUGUCUUUAGCCUUGUCAUAAAAGGAGCUGGAAAAGGCCACACAAAUCCCAGACCAAUGCUCUGUGGGCUUCAACAGCAUCUUUAAACCUCACAGAAAGAAGCCGAAUCAAACCAGCAGGUUAUUUAUCCCAUGUUUGUCUGCUCCACCAGCCCUGCACUAAGUUAAGGGAGGGUGAAUUACAGUGACUGCCUUUCUCAGCUCAGCCUGUACGUAACUUCUACAGCAGUCCUGCCUGUUUGGCACAUAUUUGAUGCCCUCAGCUAUCUCGGGUCUUUUUUGAAACUGGUAACUCUCGGUUUAAUCACUUCAGUUGUUGUCCAGGAGCUAGGUCUGUGUUUCACCAUGCCUGUGCCAGCCAGAGUCCUCCAGCCUUCCCAUCCCAUGCUUCUGAGCAACCAUGCUGCCACAUGAGAAGACUUACCUUAUCUCUGCAAACCCUUGUAGAAAACCAGUUUUCAGAGCACAGGUAUCACUGCCCCCAUGUGUCUGAUGCGAAGGUCAGGGGAAGUGGUCCUGUCCCCAGGCACAACCUUCAUCCUUGGCUAUCGCUGGUCCUUUGGACGAAAAAUGGGAAUGCCAGUAUGUUAGCAGAGAAAAAAACAGUGCAAGCUAUAUAUAUUUUUUUAGUUUGUUGAUGUUUUUUCUUUACAUAAAUGCAGACUUUCAUCCUUACUGUUGUUAGUACUAAAAGACAAACUGAUGAAAGCCACAAUAGAUUUGCUUCAUUGGGUAACAUAAUACAUCAUUCAAAAGGUAAGUUGCAAACAGUGGUCUUAAUCUAAUAACAUUAACCAUAACCUCUGCUUCUCCUCCCCUAUAACAUCCCAGGCAUUUUGAAAAAAAUCUAUCUUCUUGUCCAGUGAUAAGUGAUUUUUUUAUCGAUGUGAUAUAUCCAACAGUGAAAUGGAUUUCCCUUUUUACAAGGAAUGACACUUUCUACUGUGGAAUAUUUCCAUUACAGGAGGGUUUGAUUGAUUUGAGAAGUGUCCUAGAUAACAGCAGGCUGAUGGAGAAUAAAUUCGCCUGAAUGUUCUGUUUCUAAGUGGACUAAUGCCAUUCUUAAUAAGGAUGUGUAAUGUUUGGAAAAGUUGCUUCUUGCAAAACAACUACAACAUUAUAUCAUUUUUUUAUCCCUCAACUUGGCAAAUACUCAUGUUUUUUUCUUUCCCCUCAGGGAGGAAUUGUCCAUAUGACCUGAAAAACUUUGGUCUUUCUUAAUGACUCAAGUUGAAAGUGAACAGUAGUGGCCUGCGCCAAAUAUCGAUCUGAAACUGGAAAGGGCUGGCCAGCUGCAGGCUGCUCCAAGUGGAAGCUGUAUGUGGUUCGAGCUGCCCUUUGAUCAGGCUGCAUCGCUUCCUGUCUCAUUGGAAAACAGAGAUCUGCCUUCCACGGGGAAAGCUGAACUGUGCCGUUCUGCUUCUCUUUCCUGUGUUUUGUCCUGAACUCUUCAGGACAAGAUUACAAAUGUGUUGCUUGUUCUGAGUUUUUUGUACAAGUGGAGAAAAACAUCAAUUUCUGAAGACUGAAUUUCUCUGAUACAUGUUGUACAGGGUGCUUCACCCACAGAUAUUUUCACUGUGCUGAGCUGUGUGAUAUCUCUUUUUUUGUUCUGUGCAAUUCCUGCUCAGGUAGAACACAGGCUCAGUGCAGAGGGGCUGUCAGAGGAGUUGCCACAAAGACACAGUCACAAACACACUCACUGGAGGGUCUUCCUCAUUUAUAAAUAGUGAGUGGGUUUUCUUCUGUCUAGUGCUAUCACUAGAGAGCCAUGCAUCUCUGUCCCACCUUUCUCUCUGUUUUUGUCCAGAAGGAGUGACUAUGGCUCCUUCAUCAUCUGUGCAGUUGCCAUAGUACUUUCAUCUUGUCCACAGAGGCAAGUCUUGUGCAGAGCUGUUGCAGGUCUUCAGGUCUAGCCUAAAAUGUGGGAUGGCAGUGGCACUUCUCAAGGCCUUUCAUACCUCUGGGACACCCUCAGAUAAACGUGAGUUUUACCCUGUUGCGCUGAAGGAAACAGACCCACCAUGAGCAUGACAGAUGCCUACUCCCCAAGCUGGACUCCCCCACCUGCUUGGCUCUGCCUGAGUGCAUCAGGGCCAGGGGGACCCCAAAACCAGCCACCCUUUGGUGCCACUAAGCAUGUUCAUCACCUCCUCUGUGUUCUGGAGGAGCAGCCCUUUGCGUGUGUAGCUCACGGGGGAUUGGUGUCUGCGGCCCACAGCCGCACACAGCUCUGCCUCGGGCUCCUCGCUGCCGUCCAGCCCAGCCGUGACCACAGGCUGGGACCAGCACCAGUCCAGAAUUGCUUUUCUUAAUUACAGCUAUUUUAGUGGAGACUAAACUUCCGCAGGAGCAAAUUGUUAGGAUUUGGGGAACGCCUGACAGAAUCAACUGGAAAAGCAAAACUCUUUUUGUUGGCAUUCCUACGCUACAAAUUUAUUGUUUAAGAAGCUUUUCCCCCUCACUUACACCCAAAGACAGUUGAUGCAAUAAAAGCGCAGCUUUGCUCCAAAAUGGUCCAUUCUGGAUUUGCAUAGUACUUUUAAGAGAAACUGGCUUGCUUCCAAAUUCAUACGCCAGAGGCUGAAUGAGCUAAAUUUAAAUACCAAAGUAUUUCAGGCGGAUAUUUUACAUUAACAGCAAUCUCAUUCAUUUUAGUUUAGUGCUUUCACAUAGUUUUUCAAAGUUAAGUUAGAUCCACUGUGUAAGAAUGAGUGUUUCAUUAAUUUUUAUAAGAGUUAUAAGAAGCAUAUGUUUUAAAGCUUCAUUUUGUAACAUAGCAAAGCAUAUUUUAGACAUAUUUAUUUACAUAAUGGCCACAUUAAAAGAAAUUUUCAUAUGGAAAAAUGUAGCAAUACCAAGCAACGGUUACCACAAAGUUUUAAAAAAAUAUAUUAAUGAUAUGGAGUGAAAAGAAACAGGAAAAAUUUAAGAAAUGAAAUAAGAGGAGGUGAUUUUUUUUAAGUGCUCAAAGUGAGCACAUUUCCACUCCUAUCACAAAGCCAGUGGAAGCACCGUGUUCUACAGGAAACUUUCAUGAGGAAUCACCAAAACAAAUCUCAUGUGAAAGAACUGAAAUAUCUCACUUGGAAAAACAGAUCUUCAUCUUGAAAAGAAAGUUGUGCAACAUCCAGCACCGUGAAGGCAUGCAUUCUUGGAAGAGCGGAGGUCCUGAGAAUGUCAAAAGCUCUUGAAAACAGGUCCAGCUUCCACUUUGCCAGACACUAUAGCAAAGGCUGCUCUGAGAGCUAAUUUUGGAUAAUGAGCAAUCAGCAGGGGCAGAACAUCCUAGGCUUCAAACUUGGACAGAGGCAGAAAGCACAUCCUUGACAAGACAACAAGCUACUUUCCAAAUGAGAAGCCUCCACUCCCAAGCACAGGAGACCUUAGAGCUCUGCACGUGGCUAAGAGAUACCUACUCACCAGGUCUCCAUCACCAAAUUACAAAGUUAAGGGAAGUCUUACCUAAGGCUCUCUCCUCAAGUCUUUUGGUCAAGUCUGGUAUCCAACAUCAUCUGUUCAUGCUGCUUAUUGCUCUGACAGUUGAAGUGCACACAGGAUGAGUGAGUAACUUUCUGUGGUGGAUGUUACAAGGUAAUGAGAAAUUGUUGUGUUACGUGCUAUCUGAGCUGGAUAUUUUUCUAACCAAUAUAUUUUCUUGAGGGUUCUCUGAGGGGCUGGUAGACUCUCACAUUUAUGGCUGCGAGUUUCAGUAGUUCUUUCUGAAAAAUGUGGCUUUCUCAGGGGUUGUCUUGAAUAGCUAUGGUCGUCAUGUUGUUUCUACGGCUGUGAAUCAUACUGGUGCCACUCAGAUAUCUAAGUCAAGGAAACUGUGACACUACAAAGUUAGAUCUGGAACAGGGUUCCCCCCAUGGCAUCUUUUUCCAAAUCUGCUCACUUUGCUUUUGGUUUAUGGGAUGGAUUCUACAACUCAAACUUUAUGAAUGGAAAUCCUGAGUGUAUGAAUAUCUCAUCUGUUGUGUUAUGAAGCCUUUUGUACCGGACUGUUGGCCAACCCUGCCUGUUUAUCAGAGGGGGUUUUUAUUUAAAUAAUUGCUAUCACAGUCUGUCUUAAGUGGGUAGAAACAAAUAUGUGCAGAGCUAGUAGGGGAAAACAUAACUGUCUUGAACAUGCCAUUCAGGGUAUUGCAAGAGGAAGAGCAGAACCUGCAGAAUGCCAUAGCUCUACUGUUUUCCUCCAGGUUCAUGUCCUGCUGAUACAAAAAAUGUCAUUAAAGAUUAACUGAGUGGGCAACUAUGAAAAGAGAGGUGUUCAAACAUUAAGAAAACCACAAUGAGUGAGUGGUGUUAGACUUUAUCAUAACUGUAUUAUGAAGUGUGGCAAAUAAAACUUGCACGCUUGAGGAAAGCACUUUACUGUGAAGAAACUUUGCCUUUGGCCAAGUGAUGCUGGAGUCCAUUCAGUAAGGUAAAGCCCUCAGAUGUGUGAGAAUGAAAAAUGAAGAGUGUGUGGCUAUAUAAUAAGCUUUUGUUGCAGCUGAAUAGUUGUAAUAGAGUAUAAUGAAAUAGAAAACUGAGAAAGUGUUACAUAUUUUAGACUAGGAUGGGAGAAUAGUGCAAUAUUUAUUAGAGGCUGGACACUGGAACUAUUUUAGAAAAAUAAAAUAAAAGCUCUCCUUGGAAUUUGUUUGACAUCUGCCUGGUAGCUGGAUCCAUUCCUGUUUUAACAGCCCACACAGAGUGACACUCUGCAAACACAACAUUGUCACCUGAACAAUUCACUCAACAGCUCGCUAUGCUGUCAAUCAGACCAGACUCAUUUCUCUUCUUAGAAAAAUUUUUUUAUACCCCCUCAUUUUUUUUCUUUUGUCUCCAAGCCUUUGUUGAUGUUGACAGCUCAUCCUUUGGCCAUCAUUCAUCCUGGCUACUGCAAACUUUGGAGAAAAUAAAAACCCUGCUCCCGUAAUCAGAUUAGAGGGCCUGCAAAUUGAAUUCAGCCCCUCUCAGUGUCCCCUCAGCUGGCUGUCAUUAGGAGCAAAGGCUGGCCCUUGGCGGAGGUCCAAACACCAGCUAACUGAAUUUGAGAUGCUGGAGUCCUGACAGGCCAAAGAAGGUAAUUGAAGAGCUGUGGGGAUCUUGUAAAAUCUCAGGCAAUGGGGACUACACUGUGAGGAUCUUUGGGACCCAUUUGUAAAAAGGGACAGGGCACUGAAAAGCAGCUUUCUUCAUUGUUAAGACUGGCACAGAUGAAUAGAGGAAAAUAUUGAAAUGCAAAAAUGAGGUUUUCAACGUACUGACUUCUUUGCCGCCUUCUCUGCCUUGGUCUUGACUAAAUGCCUAAAUCCAAAUAUCGUUUAUUGGUUGUAGUUCAGAAGAAGUGUCCAGAGGCCUCAGAUGUUGUGCAAACAUGCUGAAUUUGUAAAUGCUGUGUUUGAAUAAUGUUAGUUAUUAAAAAAUGAAGAACAAAAAAGCAAGCCUACAAACUCGUGUUUGGAUUUAUUUGCUGGAGUAUCUUAUCCUGGAGUCCUAUUAACUCUUCCCUCCUUAUAACUCAGUUCACGUUGUUUUGCUUCAAUUGGGACCACCUAUCUCCAAGCAAAACGUUGUGUUGUCUUGGUCACUCAUGUCUCUCCUACCAUCACAAAUUACUAAAUAUACCAAGGCAGAGGGAAGCUUCUUAGCCAGUGUUCCAAAGCUUGUAAAUACUUAGCUUGGUAAAAAUGUUUUCGGUUUUAUCCAUAUGCAAAGAGGUUCUGAUGCUGAAAACAUUAAUGUUCCGGUCUGUCAGGGCUUGUGGAUUUGGCGUGCUUCUAGCAGAUUGUCCCACCAGAGGACAGACCCCACAGCUCCUGUAGAUAUGCCAGUGAAAUACAAACAUUGAAAUUAUGAGUUAGCACUGAGAAAUAAUGCUGCUGCACUGGGCUGCCAUGGUUGCAGCGGACAAGUUUUUAUAAAGCAGCCUCUGGGACACCUGUUUCAAGCUCUGAGAAAGCAAGAGUGGCUUCAAAAGAAUAAAGCUGAACCUAACCAGGCUCCUGGGCCUUUUUACAUGUAGGUGCAGCAUGCAGAGCAUGGAAGAGAAGAAUCCCAUUGUAAAAAUAUCAGGUCUUUAAAAAAAAAAAAAAAUUCUGAAUUCCUGCUGAAACAUAUCGGUGGACAUGCCCUGGGCACAACAAAGCAGCACAAAGUGUGGAAACAGAUGCCCUCUUCAUACGUGCAGCUUCCCCUUCCACAGGGGAGCAGGGUGAUUGGAUUGUGUGUACCUUUGAUCUGUUUGGUAUCACUUCAGUUAUUGAUAUAUUAAUUGCAUCCUUCAAUAAAAAUCAUAAUGUUCAUAGCUUUUAGAAGUCACUCUCUUUCCCCCUGACCCAUCCCCCAAGAGAAAGAAAUUUUGCAAAAGAAAAUUCUUGUUUCUAGGACUCCAGGUCUGACAUG